UACGUAGGGCGCAAGCGUUGUCCGGAAUUAUUGGGCGUAAAGAGCUCGUAGGCGGUUUGUCGCGUCGGCUGUGAAAACUCGGGGCUCAACCCCGAGCCUGCAGUCGAUACGGGCAAACUUGAGUGCGGUAGGGGAGACUGGAAUUCCUGGUGUAGCGGUGAAAUGCGCAGAUAUCAGGAGGAACACCGGCGGCGAAGGCGGGUCUCUGGGCCUGUGCUGACGCUGAGGAGCGAAAGCGUGGGGAGCGAACAGG
rnacentral:rRNA from 1 species